CCAAAUUGAGCCAUAUGUACAAUUUUUAAUUUUUAAUUAGUGUUUAAUAGUUGCCGGAGCUAAUAACUCUCAUAUUCCCCAAUGUUCAGUUUCCUAUGUACUCAUCACUAACCCGUCCCCUGAGCUCUCUGCAAGCAGUGUAGGUUUCCUCCCAGCACCUGAAGCGCUCCAGGAACCUGCCAGACCCCCUGCUUAUUUUCUUGGAGAGCUCCCCGGGAGCCCUCUGCCAUUCUGCUCCAGGCUGGACUGGUGUCCACCCUGCUGCCCUGUCAUGUGGAGACUCCUCUGCCCCUUGGCCUGGGAUUCACUCCCCACCUAAUCCCACAUUUCCUCUUUCCUCCUUGGUGAGGCAGCUCUCUAUGGCUUAUGGAGCGGUUAUAUUUUUCUUGUUCGAGACUUGGCUUGAAUAAUAUAUCCUUAUUCUCUCAUACUUGAUUGACAAUUUGGCUAAGGAUCAACUUCUAGGUUAGGAAUAAUUAUCUGUCAGAUUUUCACGUUGACCCAAAACUGACUGUCUUCCAGCUUCGAGUGUUGCUGCUGAGGAGAUGGCUAUUCUAAGUGCCAUUUUUUUGUAUGAGACUUGCUUUUUUGUCCUUUCUGGGAGUUUUUAGCAUCUUCUCUUUGUUCAUGAUGAUCUGAAAUUUCAUAAUGUUGUUCCUUGAUACGUGUCUUUUUAAAUUUUCUGUGAGACACUUGAUCCGUUAUUUCAACUUGGAAACACGUUUUUCAUUUCUUGGAAAUUUUCUUGAAAAAAAAAGUUUCUUUUUUUGGUAUUUUCCUUCCAUCUUCUCAGUUCUUACUUUCUGGAUUAGUCAGAUAUGGGGUCUCUUGGGCAUGCUUCUCAAGGGUGAUUUUCAGUGUAAUCUGGACGUCAGUGCCAUCGAGGGGGCCAGUUUAUGUACAAGGUGUCAGGAGGCUCAGGCAUGACUAUAGCAGGGCUCCAUUCCUCUCUGCUUCGAUUGCAUGACUUGCAUGUGAAGAGACCACCUUGUUAGCAUGUGGCUGUGUGCUGAAGGUCUGCAGAACGUGGGUCAAAAUCUCCAAAGUUUCCUUGGCAGCCCCCUCGGAGUAGUGAGCGUGGACCUAGGCGAAAUGGGAGACCUGAGUCGUAACUUACCCGUCCUUGAGAAGACGACCUGCCCCCUAGGCUAGACGACUGUGGGGUUUUUCGGUUUGUGUUUAGUGAUUGCCGUUCUGCCUGGAGAAAUGUCUGCACUGCUACUUCUCGGUGUGUUGCACUGGCACAGUGGGCUGGGUACACUGUGCACGGCAGCGAGGCCCAGGGGAGAGUGUGUGUCCUUAUGUAAUGACACGGUGCUUUGCUAGGCACCCAGCCCAACUCCUGUCACCCGCCCCGCGUGGGAGUUAUUACACAGCGACAUUUCCCUGCAGUCUCUCGUAACAUUAGCCUUUCCUUCUCUUUCUUAGAUUUCUUUAAAACAUUUCCCUUAUGUAUAAAUAACUUCUUUAAAAAGUCUGAGAGUAGCUCUAACCUUCCAGGUUCUAGCAGGAGGUUAGUGCUAAGAAAAAGCUUCCAUUUUUGCCCCAUUAUUUUGUUCUUCAUUUAUUUAAUAGCGGCCUAGACUUUAAUCUGAAUAUAGUCCAAGGUUCUGAGAGCACUGCAGGAAUCUGAAACCAAUCGUACUGUCAGUAAAUUGCCACUUUAAAUCCCACUUACCCUGUCUGCUCACACUCCUUACACAGUUUCCGCUCCUUGGGCAACCAAAAGUUUAACAGGCAAGUUUUAAUGAGCUCUCUCUUUUUCCCAAUAAUCUAACCUAAACUAUCGGAGAAAAAUCUUGCCUUACAUUGUUGUGACUCCAGCCCAGUGCUGCCCGAACUAUCUGUGGUAAAGGGCUGAUUUUCUUUAGAUGUCCAAUUUGUUGUGGACUGGUAGCAAAUGUAAAAUGCAAUAAAUAUGAGUUACCAGAAAAGUGAAUUAGAAAAUGUAAAGGAAAAACACUCCUGUGUGUCUCCUCUACUCUCAAUCUCUAUUCACUUCUGACAUUUCUAGUCACCAAAUGUGUGUUUAAGUUUUUCCACUCACCAAGCAAUUCUGCGACACCAGCUGGGUGUCCUACAAUUUAACUCAAUUCUGACACUGUCUACCCAGAGAUAGUGUCAGAUCCCACUGAUUAAGAGCUCAGUCCUACAGGACUGCCCCCCCUUCAGAUGCCAAUCAUAAGUCCAGGUUACCCGUGCUUCUAGAAAAUGGAGGGUCCCACGCCCCCUCCUUGGGUUGGAUUAAUUUGCUAGAGCGGCCCACAGACUUCAGGAAAACAUUUUACUUACUGGAUUACCAGUUUGUUAUAAAAGAUUAUAACUUAGGGACAGCCAGAUGGAAGAGAUGCACAGGGCAAGUAUGUGGGAAGGGAUCCAGAGCCCCCGUGUCCUCUCCAGGUGUGCCACCCCACCCUUCCACCAUGCAGAUACGUUCCCAACCCGGAAGCUCUUGGAAUUCCUUUUCAGUUUUUAUGGUAUGAUUGAUCAAAUCACUAGCCACUGGUGGUUGAACUCAAUCUCUAGCCCCUCUCCACUCCCCGGAGGUCAGGGAAGGAGGGGCUGAAAGUGCCAACCAUCUCAUCACGUGGUUGGUUUCCCUGGCAGCCAGCCCCCAUCCAGUGGGACUUUCCCAAAGUCACUUCGUUAAUAUAAACUCCGAGGUGGCUGAAAGGGACUUGUUAUGAACACCAAAAACACACAUUUCACCUUUAUCUUCUGGAGCUAUUUCAGGAACUGGGAACAAAAGAUGCC
rnacentral:lncRNA from 1 species